CGAAGGGUGCAAGCGUUAUCCGGAUUCAUUGGGUUUAAAGGGUGCGUAGGCGGAGUGUUAAGUCAGUGGUGAAAUCCUGCAGCUUAACUGUAGACUUGCCAUUGAUACUGGCACUCUUGAGUGCGCUUGAAGUAGGCGGAAUGUGCCGUGUAGCGGUGAAAUGCUUAGAUAUGGCACAGAACACCAAUUGCGAAGGCAGCUUACUAAGGCGAUACUGACGCUGAGGCACGAAAGCGUGGGGAUCGAACAGGAUUAGAUACCCUGGUAGUCCACGCCGUAAAUGAUGAUCACUCGUCAUUGGCGAUACACUGUCAGUGACCUAGCGAAAGCGUUAAGUGAUCCACCUGGGGAGUACGAUCGCAAGAUUG
rnacentral:rRNA from 1 species